GCCAAAACGUUUGUUAGUGUCAUGGCGUCGCUUGUGACGUCACGUCUAAAUAAAUAAGACGCAAGUACGCUGCGCUCGUUAAAUAAAUAAGUAAUUUUGUGUUAUUAAAUCUGAAUUCGAAAGUGUAUAAGUUGUGUGGGGAGGGGGACCCCAGUGUCACAAGAAACCUUAAAAACUGCUGAUAAGUUAUUUGUGUACGUUCCUCACAAUAAAACAAUGCGAACCAAGUUUAAACUUGCAAGGCGAGACUCAAAAACAAUAGUGUCCAGUAUUCACCUCUACUUUAGUGAACAUCACUUUGAUAAUUGGGUGGAGUCGUGGGAGCCACGCUCGACGGUCGGCCGCUCGUGAGGCCUAUCAGGGAAGACCGCGGGGUACCUGGACACGUGGAUAUUGAUAUCUUAUAAAGCAUAACUCAUUAAUUAUAUUGAUUGUGGAUAUUCAACUAGUAAAAUAAAUAUUUUAGAAUGAAAAAUUCACCGUCACGGAUUGAACCUACUACUUCCAUGUUAUGCCAUCCCAGCCACUUGCCGUCUAAGCUGUGGUGUUGUCCCUACAGUCUGUGAGCUUACAUGCCAUAUACAAACGGAUGCCAGUAACUAUUAGUAUGCAAGAUGUCAUUAACACUACACUUGUUAAGUGCUACUUGAAAUGUGAGGUGCGGAAUUAAAAUCAACCAGCUAACAAAUACCACCAAAGUUCCACUACCUACAGCACCCGCAGCUGAGGCCACGAUAGCAGUGCAGCCUACUGUAAAGUAUACAAUGUACAUUAUUAUGAUCGUACUUUUGUCGGGGACCUUCUCCCGGGGCCUGCUGGCGCUGAAACUCUUGGCGAGGCGGCGGUGUGCGGGCGGCGUGAGGUCCCCCUCGUCGUGGAGGCCGGGGCCCCCUCCACCGCCGGGCCCCCCGGCGCCCGCCAGGCCACCCGCGCCCCCCACCGUCUCCACCACCCAGCGCUCCGUGCUCCGCCCUGCCCACCCACACCACUACUACUACUGACCCCAGGAACUUAUCCUAUACUACGACAGUUAAUCUACCAGAACUAUGAGAUACUGUUAUCUAAAAAAUGUCUUGCUAGAGAUAUGUGGAAAUUUUUUCGUACAUCUCAUAAAAUUUUACUCGAAGCUCGAGAUUAAGGAGGAUAGUUUUUUUUUUACAAAAGAAACCAAUUUUAGUGGCGACGUUUAGAAUAUAAGCAACCGAUGCUGUACACAUAGCUGGACUAAUCAAAAAUAUUAAAAUUUCAAAAUUAAAAAAGUCCCAGUCAUGUGUUAUAAAUCCCAAAGGUUUAAGAUAACCCGCAUUUAACUAUAAUAGUUCUUGUUAAGUAUAUGUUCUAGCUAGAUUAAACCGUUAAUAAGGAAGCCAACAGACAAACGCUACAUGAACUCAUUAAAAAUCCAAAGUUAUUGUCAAAACAGAUUAAUAUUUCUCAAACAGCCAAAUCAAUUUAAAUAGUUACUAUCCAUUAUAUUGUAUGUACAGACUGAAUGUGUGUUAUGUAGGUUAAUAAUCGACUGACCAAGAAAUGCGUCCACGUGUGCUGCGACCCCCAUCAUAGCGCGGUGGAAGAUGUGAGCCAGCGACCCCACCCACGAGUCUCGACCUUCGACCUCACGACCCUGAUCCUGACCCUCCUCCACGGUCAUCCAGAACUCGGGAGUGUGGCUGAUGAGUGCGGGCCUGGUGAGGUCCACGGGGUUCCCUAUGGUGUGGAGGAUGCGGUACCAGGCCUGGGUGACGGCCUCCGCGCUCAUGUCCGCCGGCACCAGCUGGGAGUCCUCCUCGCCUGGACGUUACAGUAGAAUUAUUGACAGACAUCACACAACGGUCGUUAUUCAAACAGUUUUGAGCCAAAACUUUAAUUAAUAUUCAAAUAGAAUGUAUCAACUGUAAAGUUCAUUUUUCAAAUUGCUUUAAUCUUAAAGGUUGCUCGAAUUCCGCUCGUGACAUUGAAAUUUUAUUUCUGUAUGUUUUACUUGAAAUUUACUUGCUUCGUACAAAUAACCCUGUUCUUCAUUUCGUUAUUCACCAAAGUAUAGUGAGUACUCACUGAUGGGCACGGCGGGGUACAUGGGGCCAUACAUGUGGACCAGCAGCCUCGCCGUCAGACACAGAGACACCCGAGCCCACUGCUCUGUGAGGGGCGCGCGGUGUCUCCAGCGAACACACUGCUCGCGGAGGGUGCGCCACAGACUGGGAGACGGGAAGCAUCUGCGGCGGAACAGGCAAGUAUCCAGACCUCGAACAGCACACACAGCACUCGUUCACACAGUUGUUCAGCGGCACCGUACAGAGGUGCUGGAGGGGCGAGCAGCGCCGCAGCGGCGGCCAGCAGCAGUAGGAGGAGGGAACGCCACUCACGGGGACCGAGAGACGCACUGUCCGCUAGGGAUCUGGCCAGGCGGAGGACACGGUGACAUAACACCGCCUGCUUACUGAUGAGGUUACCGCCUGGAAAUAUCAGAUAUUACAAAUAACUAGUGACACAAAAGGAAUUAUUCAUAUUUAAUAUACAUGUAGACUCACCCAGCUCCGCUUGAUAUAUGAAUGUGAGAGCUUGCAAGCAAAUGAUCUAUUGACAUGUUGGUUAUAAUAUGUUAUAAAGGAUUUUCUUAAUACAUACUCUCAUUGGGGCGCGGUAUGAAGAGAUUGUGCAGGUGGUUGAGUAUCUUGUUGGCGUAGCGGUGUGGCUGCGCUGCUAGGGCGGGCGGAACGGCAGGCGGGGGCGGUUGGGCGGGAGCCGCAGGUGGGAGUAACGCUGACAACCAGGAGCAGCAGACACGAACGCAGUCCCUUAAAGCCUCGUGUUCUGACAACGGCAGAGACAGACCAAAACGAAUCACCUCCAACACCCACUCCACCUGGAAUUAAAUAUCAUUCUUAAUCACUUCACAAACUUAUUACUAAAGUCAUACAAUUUAUUCAAAAAAAAGGAAAUGACUUGUUUGUCAUUACACUACAUAGGUUCUGACUGUGUAAGUAUUCUAUGGCUUUUUGACAGAAUUUGAUGGAAAGAACAAAAAAAAAUUUUUUAAAUAAUUAUUGAAAAUUUAAUUCUAUAAACAAGUCAUUUGUAAAUUCUUUGUCCAAAUAUUACUUUGUUUACUCAUUAAAAUAUAGUUUUAUAAACUUA